GUCAGUGCUGAUUGCGAUGAGGGUCCACCCGUUCCCAUCCCGAACACGGAAGUUAAGCUCAUCAGCGUCGAAGAUACUUGGCGGGUAGCUGCCCGGGAAAAUAGAACGGUGCUGACA
rnacentral:rRNA from 1 species